rnacentral:rRNA from 1 species
GGAGUUUGGUCCGUGUCUCAGUACCAAUGUGGGGGACCUUCCUCUCAGAACCCCUACUGAUCGUCGCCUUGGUGGGCCGUUACCCCGCCAACUAGCUAAUCGGACGCGAGUCCAUCUUUGAGCGAUAAAAUCUUUGAUAUACCGACCAUGCGAUCAAUAUAUGUUAUGCGGUAUUAGCGUUCUUUUCAGAACGUUAUUCCCCUCUCAAAGGCAGGUUACUCACGCGUUACUCACCCGUCCGCCACUAAACUAAAAUUCCGUCUCCCCGAAGGAAUCCUUCCUAGUAGUUCCGUUCGACUUGCAUGUGUUAGGCACGCCGCCAGCGUUCGUCCUCGAGCCACGGAUCAAACUACU